rnacentral:rRNA from 1 species
GAUGAACGUUGGCGGCAUGCUUAACACAUGCAAGUCGAACGAGGUCUUCGGACCUAGUGGCGAACGGGUGCGUAACACGUGGGUGAUUUGCCUCAGAGAGGGGAAUAACCAUUGGAAACGAUGGCUAAUACCGCAUGAGCGAUUUUUGUUUAGAAAGAAAAUCGUAAAACUCCGGUGCUCUGAGAGAAGCCUGCGGCCUAUCAGGUAGUUGGUGGGGUAAUAGCCUACCAAGCCGAUGACGGGUAGCUGACCUGAGAGGGUGGUCAGCCACAGGGGAACUGAGACACGGUCCCCACUCCUACGGGAGGCAGCAGUGAGGAAUAUUGCACAAUGGGGGAAACCCUGAUGCAGCAAUGCCGCGUGUAGGAUGACGCCUUUCGGGGUGUAAACUACUUUUAAGGGGGAACAGAACGGAGUGUACCUCUUGAAUAAGUCACGGCUAACUACG